CUGAUAUUGUAUUCUCCCAGCUACCAUUGUCAAUAAUAACAUGACAUACCUUCCCAGCAAUCGUACAUCGUGUAUGGAACAAGCUCCGUCUUCGCCCUUUUCCGGAGUUCGGGCUGCUCCUCACAAUCACCCACCAGCCCUUUACCUUCUCGGCCACUGCUCCUUGGGCAAUCCUUUUGAAAAUGUUCUGAAGAUCCACACUUAAAACAUGAACCUCUUGUUGAUGGAUUGGACAUGUCUUUAGCUCCUUUGGGCAAGUGUGCAGGACCUGUCGGUCUUGUAUCACCGUUCCUUGUUGACGCCCUUGUUGGCACAAUAUUAUUGGAUCUUGGCCGGUAAGGAUUGCUAUUUGUGCGCAAUGGUCGCUGCUGCUGCUUUUCAAUAGCAACCGCUCGCUGAUAUGCUUCAGAAACAGAAAAAUUUACAUGUAAGGUGAACAUAUCUUGAAUAGAUUGGCGUAGACCACCAAUAUAUCUUGCUACCAGCUGGCUCUUUUUAUCA